rnacentral:lncRNA from 1 species
GAUCAGUCAUUCUGAUUACCAAAUUCAAGCAUGCAAAAUUGGUAAGGAGGGACCUUGGAUGCAGAAAACCUCAGUGAGCUGCCUGGGGACCAGGAUCCUCCGGCCCUGUCUCCCCCGCCUCCCGCUGCCACUGCAGUAGGGGCCUUGGACUCGGGAAGAGAGACAAUUUUAUAGGCUGCGGCAAAAUAUAUUAUGUGAAUUAUCAUCCCUUGCUUAUGCUCCUCUGUAUUGUGUAUGAAAGGAAGAUGUUACGACUUGGAUGAAAAAGUAUUCUCCAAGAGACCCAG